rnacentral:rRNA from 1 species
GGGGCCUGGACGGGGACUCUAGAGAUUUACGGCCUUGUUACGACUUCACCCCAGUCAUCAGCCCCACCUCGACGUCCUCCUCCACAAGGGUUGGAGUAACGGCUUCGGGCGUGGCCAACUUCCAUGGUGUGACGGGCGGUGUGUACAAGGCCCGGGAACGUAUUCACCGCAGUAUGCUGACCUGCGAUUACUAGCGAUUCCUCCUUCACGUAGGCGAGUUGCAGCCUACGAUCUGAACUGAGCCACGGUUUAUGGGAUUUGCUAGCUCUCGCGAGUUUGCUGCCCUUUGUCCGUAGCAUUGUAGUACGUGUGUAGCCCAGGAUGUAAGGGGCAUGAUGACUUGACGUCAUCCACACCUUCCUCCGGUUUAUCACCGGCGGUCUCUCUAGAGUGCCCAACUCAAUGCUGGCAACUAAAGACGUGGGUUGCGCUCGUUGCGGGACUUAACCCAACAUCUCACGACACGAGCUGACGACAGCCAUGCACCACCUGUCACUGCGCUCCCGAAGGCACUCCCAAGUUUCCAAGGGAUUCGCAGGAUGUCAAACCCUGGUAAGGUUCUUCGCGUUGCAUCGAAUUAAACCACAUACUCCACCGCUUGUGCGGGCCCCCGUCAAUUCCUUUGAGUUUCACACUUGCGUGCGUACUCCCCAGGCGGAACACUUAACGCGUUGGCUACGACACCGAGGGGGUCGAUUCCCCCGACACCUAGUGUUCAUCGUUUACGGCCAGGACUACAGGGGUAUCUAAUCCCUUUCGCUCCCCUGGCUUUCGUCCAUGAGCGUCAGUUAUGGCCCAGCAGAGCGCCUUCGCCACUGGUGUUCUUCCCGAUAUCUACGCAUUUCACCGCUACACCGGGAAUUCCCUCUGCCCCUACCACACUCAAGCCUCCCAGUUUCCAUUGCCGAAAUGGAGUUAAGCUCCACGCUUUGACAACAGACUUAAAAGGCCGCCUGCGGACGCUUUACGCCCAAUAAUUCCGGAUAACGCUUGCCACUCCCGUAUUACCGCGGCUGCUGGCACGGAAUUAGCCGUGGCUUAUUCAUCAAGUACCGUCAGAUCUUCUUCCUUGAUAAAAGAGGUUUACAGCCCAGAGGCCUUCAUCCCUCACGCGGCGUUGCUCCGUCAGGCUUUCGCCCAUUGCGGAAAAUUCCCCACUGCUGCCUCCCGUAGGAGUCUGGGCCGUGUCUCAGUCCCAGUGUGGCUGAUCAUCCUCUCAGACCAGCUACUGAUCGAUGCCUUGGUAGGCUCUUACCCCACCAACUAGCUAAUCAGACGCGAGCUCAUCCUCAGGCGAAUUUCGUUUCACCUCUCGGCAUAUGGGGUAUUAGCGGCCGUUUCCAGCCGUUAUCCCCCUCCUGAGGGCAGAUUCUCACGCGUUACUCACCCGUCCGCCACUAACCCGAAGGUUCGUUCGACUUGCAUGUGUUAAGCACGCCGCCAGCGUUCAUCCUGAGCCAGGAUCAAACUCUAAUCGUCGACUGCAGCAUGC